rnacentral:rRNA from 1 species
UACGAAGGGGGCUAGCGUUGUUCGGAAUUACUGGGCGUAAAGCGCACGUAGGCGGACUAUUAAGUCAGGGGUGAAAUCCCGGGGCUCAACCCCGGAACUGCCUUUGAUACUGGUAGUCUCGAGUCCGGAAGAGGUGAGUGGAAUUCCGAGUGUAGAGGUGAAAUUCGUAGAUAUUCGGAGGAACACCAGUGGCGAAGGCGGCUCACUGGUCCGGUACUGACGCUGAGGUGCGAAAGCUAGGGGAGCAAACGGG